rnacentral:rRNA from 1 species
CCUACGGGUGGCUGCAGUGAGGAAUAUUGGUCAAUGGACGAGAGUCUGAACCAGCCAAGUAGCGUGAAGGAUGACUGCCCUAUGGGUUGUAAACUUCUUUUAUAUGGGAAUAAAAUGUUCCACGUGUGGGAUUUUGUAUGUACCAUAUGAAUAAGGAUCGGCUAACUCCGUGCCAGCAGCCGCGGUAAUACGGAGGAUCCGAGCGUUAUCCGGAUUUAUUGGGUUUAAAGGGAGCGUAGGUGGAUUGUUAAGUCAGUUGUGAAAGUUUGCGGCUCAACCGUAAAAUUGCAUUUGAAACUGGCAGUCUUGAGUACAGUAGAGGUGGGCAGAAUUCGUGGUGGAGCGGUGAAAUGCUUAGAUAUCACGAAGAACUCCGAUUGCGAAGGCAGUUCACUGGACUGCAACUGACACUGAGGCUCGAAAGUGUGGGUAUCAAACAGGAUUAGAUACCCGUGUAGUC